GUAGGUGAACCUGCGGAAGGAUCAUUAUCGAGAGUGGAGCCGAGCUCCGAAGGGGGGCCAACCGCCCCCCGACUCUUCACCCAUUGUGAACUUUGCCGUGUUGCUUUGGCGAAAACGCGGAAGCAUUUUCGCCAGAGACCCCAAUCAACGCUGUUUUCGAGUGGUCCGAGUACGUUAUCAAUUAUUAAAAACUUUCAACAACGGAUCUCUUGGUUCUGGCAUCGAUGAAGAACGCAGCAUCUGACUGACU
rnacentral:misc_RNA from 1 species